rnacentral:tRNA from 1 species
CAAAAAAUAGUUUAACUAAAAUGCUAGUUUUGGGGACUAGAGAUAGGUUUAUUCUUGCCAACUUUUUUUUGA